rnacentral:rRNA from 1 species
UACGUAGGGUGCGAGCGUUGUCCGGAAUUAUUGGGCGUAAAGAGCUCGUAGGCGGCUUGUCGCGUCGGAUGUGAAAGCCCGGGGCUUAACUCCGGGUCUGCAUUCGAUACGGGCAGGCUAGAGUUCGGUAGGGGAGAUCGGAAUUCCUGGUGUAGCGGUGAAAUGCGCAGAUAGCAGGAGGAACACCGGUGGCGAAGGCGGGUCUCUGGGCCGAUACUGACGCUGAGGAGCGAAAGCGUGGGGAGCGAACAGG